rnacentral:rRNA from 1 species
AUUGAACGCUGGCGGCAGGCCUAACACAUGCAAGUCGAGCGGGGUUUUCGGACCUAGCGGCGGACGGGUGAGUAAUGCGUAGGAAGCUACCCGAUAGAGGGGGAUACCAGUUGGAAACGACUGUUAAUACCGCAUAAUGUCUACGGACCCAAGUUGGGGACCUUCGGGCCACAUGCUAUCGGAUGCGCCUACGUGGGAUUAGCUAGUUGGUGAGGUAAUGGCUCACCAAGGCGACGAUCCCUAGCUGGUUUGGGAGGAUGCUCAGCCACACUGGAACUGGGACACGGUCCAGACUCCUACGGGAGGCAGCAGUGGGGAAUAUUGGACAAUGGGCGCAAGCCUGAUCCAGCCAUGCCGCGUGUGUGAAGAAGGCCUUCGGGUUGUAAAGCACUUUCAGUAGGGCGGAAGCGUUGUGUGUUAAUAGUACACAGCGUUGACGUUACCUACAGAAGAAGCACCGGCUAACUCUGUGCCAGCCGCCGCAGUAAAAC